GGCGGCGGCGAUGGCGGCGCGGUGCGGUGCGGAUCCCGCCGCCCGGCCCCGGCAGAGUUUGGUGCCCUACUUCGGCCGACUUUAGUUUCACUCACUUCACAUCCGGGCUUUUUCCCUAGGCAAUGGGCGCCGCAGCACAGCCCGUUCCUUAGGCAAAGGGAAAUAAAUUCGCCGCACCGACGCCGUCAAGUAGUCCCCCUCAGGAGGAGCCGCCGAGCCCGCCCUCACCGCCCCCCCCCCCACACACACCGAGCCCCCAUCCCCUUCACGGGGCUGUCCCCGCUGGGUGCGUGUGGGGGCGGCGAGCCGCGCACCCCCCCCCCCCUCCUCCCCCCUUCACCCUCCUCUCCCCUCAUCCCCGCUCCCUCAGGGCUCCGGUGCGCGCGCCCGGCGGGGCGUCGGGAGCGCGCGUGGCGAGGCAGCGAGCGGAGCGAGGGAGGGAGGGAGGGAGGGAGGCCGGCGGCGGAGGGAUCCCGCGGCGCGGUGCUGCGGCCGGGCCGGGUGAAUGGGAUUGAAGAAGAGUUGAAGCUUCCCGGCUUGUUUUUGUGUCACAGUUUCUCUCCUCCGGCGCCCCGCCGAGCUCCUCUGCCUCCCUCCCCGCCCAGCUCCCCCCUCCCCGUCAGGAGGAGCCCCCCGCCGAGGAGGAGAAGGAGGAGGAGGAGGAGGAGGAAGGGGGGGGAAAGGAACAGGACCCCCGAGAGCCGAGCGAAGAGGAGGAGGAGGAGGAGGAGGAGGAGGAGGAGGGAGCAACCUACCAUCUUCCACUCCCCGCUUAGCUUAAAGAAAAGUGCGAGGAGGAGAGCCAGGGGCGCCCAGCAGCGGGCAGCCCCGCCGGAGCGGCCUCGCCAGCACCCCCCUAUGAAGAAGAGCUCUGCCCCCACACAGGGAGGUCCUGCCCGGGGGACCCCGGCCGGCCCGCAGCAGCACCGCCGCCGCCAGCAGGGUGUAGUAUCCCGCCUUCCUCCUCCUCCUCCUCAUCCUCCUCUUCCUCAUCCCCUUGCCUGCCCCCCCCACCCCCUCACCCCCCCCCGACCCCCGCCGCCACUCUCCGGCCAACUUGGCGCUGAGGAGCACCAACUUCGCCUCAGCCCCUCCCCGGGGGCUGAAGGGGGGGGGGUGUCCUGUGGGUGUCCCCUCUCUGUGUGUGUUUGUGUCCCCCCCCUCCUCCUUCCUCCUCCUCCUCCUCCUCCUUCCCCCCCUCCUCUUCCCUCUUCCCCUUCCCCCGGCGGGCGCCGGCAGAAGUUUGGGAGCGGGCGAGGAUUGAGGAGGAGGAGGAGGAGGAGGAGGAGGGUGACACUUGGGGUGAAAGGAGGAGGUGACACAUUGGGGUUGGGGGGAGGAGCAGGGGAAGGAGAUGACACAUUGCACCGGGGAGGGAGGGAGGGGAGAGGGAGGGAGGGAGGGAGGGGGAGAGGGAGGGGUGGGGGAGGGAGGGAGGGAGGCAGCCUGGUCCCCUCCCCUCCGGGGUUCGCCGGGAUGAUGAUUUCCAGGCCCUUUUUCUCUCGGCCGGGUCCUUCGCCGUGA
rnacentral:lncRNA from 1 species